ACUUGUCUUCUAAAUAAAGACUAGUAUGAAAGACAUCACGAGAACUUGACUGUCUCCCUUUUCCAAUCAGUGAACCUAAUCUCCCCGUGAAGAAGCGGGAAUUUAUAAAUAAGACGAGAAGACCCUAUGGAGCUUUAAACACUAAUCACUUGCCCCCAUUCAUUUAAUACUCAGGCUCCUAAACCAACGCACCAUGAUUAUGUGUUUUCGGUUGGGGUGACCGCGGAAAACAACACAACCUCCGCAAUGAGACCUUUUAAACUAUAAGCCACAACUUUAAGUAUCAACAAACUGACAUCCAUUGACCCAAUAUAUUGAUUAAUGAACCAAGUUACCCUAGGGAUAACAGCGCAAUCCACUUCGAGAGCCCCUAUCGACAAGUGGGCUUACG
rnacentral:rRNA from 1 species